rnacentral:rRNA from 1 species
GGUGAACGCUGGCGGCGUGCCUAAGACAUGCAAGUCGAGCGGGCCGCGGGGUUUUACUCCGUGGUCAGCGGCGGACGGGUGAGUAACGCGUGGGUGACCUACCCGGAAGAGGGGGACAACCCGGGGAAACUCGGGCUAAUCCCCCAUGUGGACCCGCCCCUUGGGGUGUGUCCAAAGGGCUUUGCCCGCUUCCGGAUGGGCCCGCGUCCCAUCAGCUAGUUGGUGGGGUAAUGGCCCACCAAGGCGACGACGGGUAGCCGGCCUGAGAGGGUGGCCGGCCACAGGGGCACUGAGACACGGGCCCCACUCCUACGGGAGGCAGCUGUUAGGAAUCUUCCGCAAUGGGCGCAAGCCUGACGGAGCGACGCCGCUUGGAGGAAGAAGCCCUUCGGGGUGUAAACUCCUGAACCCGGGACGAAACCCCCGACGAGGGGACUGACGGUACCGGGGUAAUAGCGCCGGCCAACUCCGUG